AGUGAACGCUGGCGGUAGGCCUAACACAUGCAAGUCGAACGGCAGCACAGUAAGAGCUUGCUCUUACGGGUGGCGAGUGGCGGACGGGUGAGGAAUACAUCGGAAUCUACUUUUUCGUGGGGGAUAACGUAGGGAAACUUACGCUAAUACCGCAUACGACCUACGGGUGAAAGCAGGGGAUCUUCGGACCUUGCGCGAUUGAAUGAGCCGAUGUCGGAUUAGCUAGUUGGCGGGGUAAAGGCCCACCAAGGCGACGAUCCGUAGCUGGUCUGAGAGGAUGAUCAGCCGCACUGGAACGGAGACACGGUCCAGAGUCCUGCGAGAGGCAGCAGUGGGGAAUAUUGGACAAUGGGCGCAAGCCUGAUCCAGCCAUACCGCGUGGGUGAAGAAGGCCUUGGGUUUGGAAAGACCGUUUGUUGGGAAAGAAAAGCAGCAGGUUAAUACCCCGCUGUGCUGACGGUACCCAAAGAAUAAGCACCGGCUAACUUCGUG
rnacentral:rRNA from 1 species